CCUACGGGUGGCUGCAGUGGGGAAUUUUGGACAAUGGGGGCAACCCUGAUCCAGCCAUGCCGCGUGAGUGAAGAAGGCCUUCGGGUUGUAAAGCUCUUUCGGCCGGGAAGAAAUCGUGCGGGCUAAUACCCUGUAUGGAUGACGGUACCGGAAGAAGAAGCACCGGCUAACUACGUGCCAGCAGCCGCGGUAAUACGUAGGGUGCGUACGUUAAUCGGAAUUACGGGGGGUGAAUCGGGAGGACGGGGUUGAAAUCCCCGGGCUUAACCUGGGAACUGCGUUUGUGACUGCGAGACUUGAGUGCGGCAGAGGGGGGUGGAAUUCCACGUGUAGCAGUGAAAUGCGUAGAGAUGUGGAGGAACACCGAUGGCGAAGGCAGCCCCCUGGGUCGACACUGACGCUCAUGCACGAAAGCGUGGGGAGCAAACAGGAUUAGAUACCCCUGUAGUC
rnacentral:rRNA from 1 species